rnacentral:misc_RNA from 1 species
AGAGAGAGAGAGAGAUGAAAAAAAAGUUAAGGAUUGAGGGGGAAGAUAUUGAGAGUGCAAUUAAGGAAGAGAGUGGAAACAGUGGUAAAAGGAAAAGAAAAAGGAUGUGGUCUACAUGUUUUAUUUUUCAAAUCAAGAGAGUUGCAAAAUUGAAUAUGAUCGGAAGAUUUCAGUGGAAUUUUGGAGAUUUGUCUAUCAUUUUGUGCAAUUUCAUUUUUGCAUAUACCUGAUUUGAAUCAUUUGGUAUUAGGGAUGGCAAUGGCUCGAUUUUUUGUGGGUACUCGAUCCAACCGAACUCUAAUAGGACGGGUUUAGGUAGUAUAUAAUUGGGUUUGUGAUGAGUUUGGGUUUGAAAUUUAGUACCCUUGAUGGGUUCGCGUUGGGUUCGAACUUUACAUAUUGGUUAUCCGUUAUCCGAAUCCGUUUAUAUAAAUAUUUAAUUAA